UCAGAUUGAACGCUGGCGGCAGGCCUAACACAUGCAAGUCGAACGGUAACAGGAAGCAGCUUGCUGCUUUGCUGACGAGUGGCGGACGGGUGAGUAAUGUCUGGGAAACUGCCUGAUGGAGGGGGAUAACUACUGGAAACGGUAGCUAAUACCGCAUAACGUCGCAAGACCAAAGAGGGGGACCUUCGGGCCUCUUGCCAUCGGAUGUGCCCAGAUGGGAUUAGCUAGUAGGUGGGGUAACGGCUCACCUAGGCGACGAUCCCUAGCUGGUCUGAGAGGAUGACCAGCCACACUGGAACUGAGACACGGUCCAGACUCCUACGGGAGGCAGCAGUGGGGAAUAUUGCACAAUGGGCGCAAGCCUGAUGCAGCCAUGCCGCGUGUAUGAAGAAGGCCUUCGGGUUGUAAAGUACUUUCAGCGGGGAGGAAGGGAGUAAAGUUAAUACCUUUGCUCAUUGACGUUACCCGCAGAAGAAGCACCGGCUAACUCCGUGCCAGCAGCCGCGGUAAUACGGAGGGUGCAAGCGUUAAUCGGAAUUACUGGGCGUAAAGCGCACGCAGGCGGUUUGUUAAGUCAGAUGUGAAAUCCCCGGGCUCAACCUGGGAACUGCAUCUGAUACUGGCAAGCUUGAGUCUCGUAGAGGGGGGUAGAAUUCCAGGUGUAGCGGUGAAAUGCGUAGAGAUCUGGAGGAAUACCGGUGGCGAAGGCGGCCCCCUGGACGAAGACUGACGCUCAGGUGCGAAAGCGUGGGGAGCAAACAGGAU
rnacentral:rRNA from 1 species